GCGAGUGUGGUAUAGUGGUUUGAGUGUUGACGUAUGACUCUGGAGAUCAGGGUUCAAUUCCCUGCUCAAGCA